AGUUUGAUCCUGGCUCAGGACGAACGCUGGCGGCGUGCUUAACACAUGCAAGUCGAACGGAAAGGCCCUUUCGGGGGUACUCGAGUGGCGAACGGGUGAGUAACACGUGGGUGAUCUGCCCUGCACUUUGGGAUAAGCCUGGGAAACUGGGUCUAAUACCGGAUAGGACCACGCGCUUCAUGGUGUGUGGUGGAAAGCUUUUGCGGUGUGGGAUGGGCCCGCGGCCUAUCAGCUUGUUGGUGGGGUAAUGGCCUACCAAGGCGACGACGGGUAGCCGGCCUGAGAGGGUGUCCGGCCACACUGGGACUGAGAUACGGCCCAGACUCCUACGGGAGGCAGCAGUGGGGAAUAUUGCACAAUGGGCGCAAGCCUGAUGCAGCGACGCCGCGUGGGGGAUGACGGCCUUCGGGUUGUAAACCUCUUUCAGUAUCGGCGAAGCUCCAGGAUUCUUCUUGGGGUGACGGUAGGUACAGAAGAAGCACCGGCCAACUACGUGCCAGCAGCCGCGGUAAUAC
rnacentral:rRNA from 1 species